UACGGAGGAUGCAAGCGUUGUCCGGAUUUAUUGGGUUUAAAGGGUGCGUAGGCUGUUCUAUAAGUCAGUGGUUAAAUAUUUUUGCUUAACAAAAAAGAUGCCAUUGAUACUGUAGAGCUUGAAUACUGACUAGGUAGGCGGAAUUGGUAGUGUAGCGGUGAAAUGCUUAGAUAUUACCAGGAACACCGAUAGCGAAAGCAGCUUACUGGACAGUUAUUGACGCUGAUGCACGAAAGUGCGGGUAUCAAACAGG
rnacentral:rRNA from 1 species